rnacentral:rRNA from 1 species
UACGUAGGGCGCAAGCGUUGUCCGGAAUUAUUGGGCGUAAAGAGCUCGUAGGCGGCCUGUUACGUCUGCUGUGAAAUCCCGGGGCUUAACCCCGGGCGUGCAAUGGAUACGGGCAGGCUGGAGGCAGGCAGGGGAGAACGGAAUUCCCGGUGUAGCGGUGAAAUGCGUAGAUAUCUGGAAGAACACCAAAGGCGAAGGCAGUGUCCUGGGUGGUCGCUGACGCUGAGAGGCGAAGGCCAGGGGAGCGAACGGG